UUAUAGGAUGUACUGAGACAAAUAU
rnacentral:piRNA from 1 species